rnacentral:rRNA from 1 species
AGAGUUUGAUCCUGGCUCAGGAUGAACGCUAGCUACAGGCUUAACACAUGCAAGUCGAGGGGCAGCAUGUUGGUUGCUUGCAACCAACGAUGGCGACCGGCGCACGGGUGAGUAACGCGUAUCCAACCUGCCCUUGUCCAUCGGAUAACCCGUCGAAAGGCGGCCUAACACGAUAUGCAGUUCUCAGCAGGCAUCUAACGAGAACGAAAUGUGAAGGAGAAGGAUGGGGAUGCGUCUGAUUAGCUUGUUGGCGGGGUAACGGCCCACCAAGGCGACGAUCAGUAGGGGUUCUGAGAGGAAGGUCCCCCACAUUGGAACUGAGACACGGUCCAAACUCCUACGGGAGGCAGCAGUGAGGAAUAUUGGUCAAUGGGCGAGAGCCUGAACCAGCCAAGUAGCGUGCAGGAUGACGGCCCUAUGGGUUGUAAACUGCUUUUAUGCGGGGAUAAAGUGAGUCACGUGUGGCUUAUUGCAGGUACCGCAUGAAUAAGGACCGGCUAAUUCCGUGCCAGCAGCCGCGGUAAUACGGAAGGUCCGGGCGUUAUCCGGAUUUAUUGGGUUUAAAGGGAGCGUAGGCCGUCUGGUAAGCGUGUUGUGAAAUGUCGGGGCUCAACCUGGGCAUUGCAGCGCGAACUGCCAGACUUGAGUGCGCAGGAAGUAGGCGGAAUUCGUCGUGUAGCGGUGAAAUGCUUAGAUAUGACGAAGAACUCCGAUUGCGAAGGCAGCCUGCUGUAGCGCAACUGACGCUGAAGCUCGAAAGCGUGGGUAUCGAACAGGAUUAGAUACCCUGGUAGUCCACGCGGUAAACGAUGGAUGCUCGCUGUUUGCGUCUGACGUAAGCGGCCAAGCGAAAGCGUUAAGCAUCCCACCUGGGGAGUACGCCGGCAACGGUGAAACUCAAAGGAAUUGACGGGGGCCCGCACAAGCGGAGGAACAUGUGGUUUAA